UACGUAGGUGGCAAGCGUUGUCCGGAUUUACUGGGUGUAAAGGGCGCGCAGCCGGAGAGGCAAGUCAGAUGUGAAAUCCGCGGGCUCAACCCGCGAACUGCAUUUGAAACUGCUUCCCUUGAGUAUCGGAGAGGUAACCGGAAUUCCUAGUGUAGCGGUGAAAUGCGUAGAUAUUAGGAAGAACACCAGUGGCGAAGGCGGGUUACUGGACGACAACUGACGGUGAGGCGCGAAAGCGUGGGGAGCAAACAGG
rnacentral:rRNA from 1 species